UGCACACCCAUGUUCAUUGCAACGUUAUUCAGAAUAGCUGAGAUAUGGAAUCAACCUACUUGAACAAAGGAAUGGAUAAAGAACAUGUAGUACAUAUGGAACAGCAUUCAGCCUUUAAAAAGAAGCAAAUCCUGUAGUUUGAAACAUGAGUGAAUCUGGAGAACAUUAUGUUAAGUGAAAUAAACCAGGCUCAGAAAGAAAAGUACCUUGUGAUGUCACUUACAUGUGGAAUCUAAAAAAGAUGAACUCACAGAAGCAGCGAAUAGAAUGACGGUUACCAGAGGUUGGAAAGAAGGCAGUUGGGAAGGUGUUGGUCAAAGGAUAUAACAUUUCAAUUAGAUAGAAACAAUGAUCAUCUCAGUUGAAUAAAGAAACAACCAAAAUGCUGAAUUUGAAGAUUUCAAAUGAGAAGCAGUUUCUUUCCCUCACAUUCAAGUGCAGGAAGAAAUUUUUGUUGUUGAGAAUGUUAAGUGUCCAAAUCAUCUCUGAGCCCAGUUCAUGGUCAGCACUUGAAGGAAACAGUUUGAGACAGCAGGAGUCUCUUAAACCAUCCCACCACAAAUCUAUUACAAUAUAA
rnacentral:lncRNA from 1 species